rnacentral:rRNA from 1 species
CAGCUCUCCGAGUGGUGUGGAUGUUUAUUGGGCCUAAAGCAUCCGUAGCUGGCUAAGUUAGUCCCUUGUUAAAUCCACCGAAUUAAUCGUUGGAUUGCGGGGGAUGCUGCUUGGCUAGGGGACGAGAGAGGCAGACGGUAUUUCCGGGAUAGGGGUGAAAUCCUAUAAUCCCGGGAAGACCACCAGUGGCGAAGGCUGUCUGCUAGAACGCGCCCGACGGUGAGGGAUGAAAGCUGGGGGAGCGAACCGGAUUAGAUACCCGAGUAGUC